CCUGGCUCAGAUUGAACGCUGGCGGCAGGCCUAACACAUGCAAGUCGAGCGGCAGCGGGGAGUAGCUUGCUACUUUGCCGGCGAGCGGCGGACGGGUGAGUAACGCGUGGGAAUCUACCCAUUUGUGGGGGAUAACUUGGGGAAACCCAAGCUAAUACCGCAUAAUCCCUACGGGGGAAAGCAGGGGAUCUUCGGACCUUGCGCAGAUGGAUGAGCCCGCGUCGGAUUAGCUAGUUGGUAGGGUAAAGGCCUACCAAGGCGACGAUCCGUAACUGGUCUGAGAGGAUGACCAGUCACAUCGGGACUGAGACACGGCCCGAACUCCUACGGGAGGCAGCAGUGGGGAAUCUUGGACAAUGGGGGCAACCCUGAUCCAGCCAUGCCGCGUGUGUGAAGAAGGCCCUAGGGUUGUAAAGCACUUUCAGUAGGGAGGAAGGCUUCGGGUUAAUACCCUGGAGUACUUGACGUUACCUACAGAAGAAGCACCGGCUAAUUUCGUGCCAGCAGCCGCGGUAAUACGAAAGGUGCGAGCGUUAAUCGGAAUUACUGGGCGUAAAGCGCGCGUAGGCGGUUAGUUAAGUCGGAUGUGAAAGCCCAGGGCUCAACCCUUGGAACUGCAUCCGAUACUGGGCUAGCUAGAGUGCAGUAGGAGGGAGGUGGAAAUUUCCGGGUGUAGCGGUGAAAUGCGUAGAGAUCGGGAAGGAACACCAGUGGGCGAAGCGNCCUCCUGGGACUGACACUGACGCUGAGGUGGCGAAAGGCGGUGGGGGAGCAAAACAGGAUUAGAAUACCCUGG
rnacentral:rRNA from 1 species